UACGAAGGGGGCUAGCGUUGUUCGGAAUUCCUGGGCGUAAAGCGCGUGUAGGCGGGUCUUUAGGUCCGGGGGGAAAUGCCAAGGCUCAACCUUGGAACUGCCUUUGAUACUGGAGACCUUGAGUCCGGGAGAGGUGAGUGGAAUUGCGAGUGUAGAGGUGAAAUUCGUAGAUAUCGGGAGGAACACCUGUGGCGAAAGCGGCGCACUGGACCACAACUGACGCUGAGGCGCGAAAGCUAGGGGAGCAAACAGG
rnacentral:rRNA from 1 species